CGCUUUUUGUUUUAAUAAAAGGUUGGUUCUGCUCAAUGAGGAUUUAAAUAGCCGCAGUAAACUGACUGUGCAAAGGUAGCAUAAUAAAUAGUUUAUUAAUUGUAAACUUGAAUGAAUGAAUUGACGAGAAAUAUACUGUCUCUAGAUUAGGAAUUUUGAAUUUAACUUUUAAGUUAAAAGGCUUAAAUUAACUUAUGGGACGAGAAGACCCUAUAGAACUUUAUUUAAUUAAAUUUAAAUUUUAUUUUUUUUAAAAUAAAUUUACUUAGAAUUAAAUUUAAUUGGGGUGAUUUGAAGAUAAGUUUAACUUUUUAUUUUUAAACUUAAAUUAAAGACUUAUUGAUCUUUAUUAAUGAUUAUAAGAAAAGUUACCUUAGGGAUAACAGCAUAAUUUUUUUGGAGAGUUCUAAUCAAUAAAAAAGUUUGUGACCUCGAUGUUGAAUUAAGAUAAAUAUUGGAUGCAGAAGUUUAAAAUAUUAGGUCUGUUCGACCUUUAAAAUCUUACA
rnacentral:rRNA from 1 species